GCCUCCGUAGCUCAGGGGAUAGAGCACCGCUCUCCUAAAGCGGGUGUCGCAGGUUCGAAUCCUGCCGGGGGCA
rfam:Streptomyces chattanoogensis strain NRRL ISP-5002 ISP5002contig65.1, whole genome shotgun sequence.